CAGUCGCCGCGGGAAUACGAAGGGUGCAAGCGUUAAUCGGAAUUACUGGGCGUAAAGCGUGCGUAGGCGGUGAGUUAAGUCUGCUGUGAAAUCCCUGGGCUCAACCUGGGAACUGCUUCUGAGACUGAACGACUAGAGUACGGUAGAGGGUGGUGGAAUUUCCGGUGUAGCGGUGAAAUGCGUAGAUAUCGGAAGGAACAUCAAUGGCGAAGGCAGCCACCUGGGCCUGUACUGACACUGAGACACGAAAGCGUGGGGAUCAAACAGGAUUAGAUACCCCCGUAGUCCCUGUCUCUUAUAC
rnacentral:rRNA from 1 species